UACGUAGGGUGCGAGCGUUUGUCCGGAAUUAUUGGGCGUAAAGAGCUCGUAGGCGGUUUGUCGCGUCUGCCGUGAAAGUCCGGGGCUCAACUCCGGAUCUGCGGUGGGUACGGGCAGACUAGAGUGAUGUAGGGGAGACUGGAAUUCCUGGAUGUAGCGGUGAAAUGACGCAGAUAUCAGGAGGAACACCGAUGGCGAAGGCAGGUCUCUGGGCAUUAAACUGACGCUGGAGGAGCGAAAGCAUGGGGAGCGAACAGG
rnacentral:rRNA from 1 species